GACGAACGCUGGCGGCGUGCUUAACACAUGCAAGUCGAACGGUAAGGCCCUUCGGGGUACACGAGUGGCGAACGGGUGAGUAACACGUGGGUGAUCUGCCCUGCACUUCGGGAUAAGCCCGGGAAACUGGGUCUAAUACCGGAUAGGACUCCUGGCUUCAUGGUUGGGGGUGGAAAGCUUUUGCGGUGUGGGAUGGGACCGCGGCCUAUCAGCUUGUUGGUGGGGUAAUGGCCUACCAAGGCGACGACGGGUAGCCGGCCUGAGAGUGUGACCGGUCACACUGGGACUGAGAUACGGCCCAGACUCCUACGGGAGGCAGCAGUGGGGAAUAUUGCACAAUGGGCGCAAGCCUGAUGCAGCGACGCCGCGUGAGGGAUGACGGCCUUCGGGUUGUAAACCUCUUUCAGCUAUGACGAAGCGCAAGUGACGGUAGUAGCAGAAGAAGGACCGGCCAACUACGUGCCAGCCGCCGCGGUAAGAC
rnacentral:rRNA from 1 species